UACGGAGGGUGCGAGCGUUGUCCGGAAUCACUGGGCGUAAAGGGUGCGUAGGCGGGUCUUUUAAGUCAGGGGUGAAAUCCUGGAGCUCAACUCCAGAACUGCCUUUGAUACUGAAGAUCUUGAGUUCGGGAGAGGUGAGUGGAACUGCGAGUGUAGAGGUGAAAUUCGUAGAUAUUGCAAGAACACCAGUGGCGAAGGCGGCUCACUGGCCCGAUACUGACGCUGGGGGCACGAAAAGCGUGGGGAGCAAACAGGG
rnacentral:rRNA from 1 species